rnacentral:rRNA from 1 species
CCUACGGGAGGCAGCAGUGGGGAAUAUUGCGCAAUGGGCGAAAGCCUGACGCAGCGACGCCGCGUGAGGGAUGAAGGUCUUCGGAUCGUAAACCUCUGUCAGCAGGGAAGAACGGUCACUGUGCUAAUCAGCAGUGAAUUGACGGUACCUGCAAAGGAAGCACCGGCUAACUCCGUGCCAGCAGCCGCGGUAAUACGGAGGGUGCGAGCGUUAAUCGGAAUUACUGGGCGUAAAGCGCUCGUAGGCGGUAUGUCAAGUCAAGGGUGAAAUCCCCGCGCUCAACGUGGGAACUGCCUUUGAAACGGGCAAACUGGAGUGUGUGAGAGGAGAGUGGAAUUCCAGGUGUAGGAGUGAAAGCCGUAGAUAUCUGGAGGAACAUCAGUGGCGAAGGCGACUAUCUGGCACAUAACUGACGCUGAGGAGCGAAAGCGUGGGUAGCAAACAGGAUUAGAUACCCUAGUAGUC